rnacentral:rRNA from 1 species
AGAGUUUGAUCAUGGCUCAGGAUAAACGCUGGCGGCGUGCCUAACACAUGCAAGUCGAACGCCCUACGCAAGUAGGGAGUGGCGGACGGGUGAGGAACACGUGGGUACCUACCCUUCAGUGAGGAAUACCGGCGAGAAAUCGCCGACAAUACCGCAUACGUUUCUUUGGAAAGAAAGCUCGCAAGAGCGCUGAAGGAUGG